GUGAGGAAUAUUGGUCAAUGGGCGAGAGCCUGAACCAGCCAAGUCGCGUGAAGGAAGAAGGAUCUAUGGUUCGUAAACUUCUUUUGCAGGGGAAUAAAGUGCGGGACGUGUCCUGUUUUGUAUGUACCCUGAGAAUAAGGAUCGGCUAACUCCGUGCCAGCAGCCGCGGUAAUACGGAGGAUCCGAGCGUUAUCCGGAUUUAUUGGGUUUAAAGGGUGCGUAGGUGGUUUGAUAAGUCAGCGGUGAAAGUUUGCAGCUUAACUGUAAAAAUGCCGUUGAAACUGUCGGACUUGAGUGUAAAUGAGGUAGGCGGAAUGCGUGGUGUAGCGGUGAAAUGCAUAGAUAUCACGCAGAACUCCGAUUGCGAAGGCAGCUUACUAAGCUACAACUGACACUGAAGCACGAAAGCGUGGGGAGCAAACAGGAUUAGAUACCCGUGUAGUCC
rnacentral:rRNA from 1 species